AGUGAACGCUGGCGGUAGGCCUAACACAUGCAAGUCGAACGGCAGCACAGUAAGAGCUUGCUCUUACGGGUGGCGAGUGGCGGACGGGUGAGGAAUACAUCGGAAUCUACUUUUUCGUGGGGGAUAACGUAGGGAAACUUACGCUAAUACCGCGUACGACCUACGGGUGAAAGCAGGGGAUCUUCGGACCUUGCGCGAUUGAAUGAGCCGAUGUCGGAUUAGCUAGUUGGCGGGGUAAAGGCCCACCAAGGCGACGAUCCGUAGCUGGUCUGAGAGGAUGAUCAGCCACACUGGAACUGAGACACGGUACAGACUCCUACGGGAGGCAGCAGUGGGGAAUAUUGGACAAUGGGCGCAAGCCUGAUCCAGCCAUACCGCGUGGGUGAAGAAGGCCUUCGGGUUGUAAAGCCCUUUUGUUGGGAAAGAAAAGCAGCAGGUUAAUACCCCGCUGUUCUGACGGUACCCAAAGAAUAAGCACCGGCUAACUUCGUG
rnacentral:rRNA from 1 species